rnacentral:rRNA from 1 species
GAUGAACGCUGGCGGCGUGCCUAAUACAUGCAAGUCGAGCGAAUGGAUUAAGAGCUUGCUCUUAUGAAGUUAGCGGCGGACGGGUGAGUAACACGUGGGUAACCUGCCCAUAAGACUGGGAUAACUCCGGGAAACCGGGGCUAAUACCGGAUAACAUUUUGAACCGCAUGGUUCGAAAUUGAAAGGCGGCUUCGGCUGUCACUUAUGGAUGGACCCGCGUCGCAUUAGCUAGUUGGUGAGGUAACGGCUCACCAAGGCAACGAUGCGUCGCCGACCUGAGAGGGUGAUCGGCCACACUGGGACUGAGGCACGACCCAGACUCCUACGGGAGGCAGCAGUAGGGAAUCUUCCGCAAUGGACGAAAGUCUGACGGAGCAACGCCGCGUGAGUGAUGGAGGCUUUCGGGUCGUAAAACUCUGUUGUUAGGGAAGAACAAGUGCUAGUUGAAUAAGCUGGCACCUUGACGGUACCUAACCAGAAAGCCACGGCUAACUACGUGCCAGCCGCCGCUGUAA